rnacentral:rRNA from 1 species
AUUCCAGCUCCAAUAGCGUAUAUUAAAGUUGUUGCAGUUAAAACGCUCGUAGUCGGAUUUCGGGGCGAACCCGCCGGUCUGCCGUUGGGUAUGCACUGGUGGGCGCGUCCUUCCUUCCGGAGACCGUUCCUACUCUUAGCUGAGCGGGGACGGGAGACGGAUCGUUUACUUUGAAAAAAUCAGAGUGUUUCAAGCAGGCAUUUGCUCUUGCAUGGAUUAGCAUGGGAUAAUGAAAUAGGACUUUGGUGCUAUUUUGUUGGUUUCGAACACCGAAGUAAUGAUUAACAGGGACAGUCAGGGGCACUCGUAUUCCGCCGAGAGAGGUGAAAUUCUCAGACCAGCGGAAGACGAACCACUGCGAAAGCAUUUGCCAGGGAUGUUUUCAUUA